GAUGAACGCUGGCGGUAUGCUUAACACAUGCAAGUCGAACGGACUCUUCGGAGUUAGUGGCGGACGGGUGAGUAACGCGUGAGAAUCUGGCUUUGGGUUCGGGACAACCACUGGAAACGGUGGCUAAUACCGGAUGUGCCGAGAGGUAAAAGAGAAAUUGCCUGAAGAUGAGCUCGCGUCUGAUUAGCUAGUUGGUGAGGUAAAGGCUCACCAAGGCAGCGAUCAGUAGCUGGUCUGAGAGGAUGACCAGCCACACUGGGACUGAGACACGGCCCAGACUCCUACGGGAGGAAGCAGUGGGGAAUUUUCCGCAAUGGGCGAAAGCCUGACGAAGCAAUACCGCGUGAGGGAAGAAGGCUCUUGGGUUGUAAACCUCUUUUCUUAGGGAAGAACAAAAUGACGGUACCUAAGGAAUCAGCAUCGGCUAACUCCGUG
rnacentral:rRNA from 1 species